rnacentral:misc_RNA from 1 species
GAUGAAGAACGCAGCGAAAUGCGAUAAGUAAUGUGAAUUGCAGAAUUCAGUGAAUCAUCGAAUCUUUGAACGCACAUUGCGCCCCCUGGUAUUCCGGGGGGCAUGCCUGUUCGAGCGUCAUUUCACCACUCAAGCCUCGCUUGGUAUUGGGCAACGCGGUCCGCCGCGUGCCUCAAAUCGACCGGCUGGGUCUUCUGUCCCCUAAGCGUUGUGGAAACUAUUCGCUAAAGGGUGUUCGGGAGGCUACGCCGUAAAACAACCCCAUUUCUAAGGUUGACCUCGGAUCAGGUAGGGAUACCCGCUGAACUUAAGCAUAUCAAUAAGUGGAGGA